rnacentral:rRNA from 1 species
UGGGGAAUUUUGGACAAUGGGCGAAAGCCUGAUCCAGCAAUGCCGCGUGUGUGAAGAAGGCCUUCGGGUUGUAAAGCACUUUUGUCCGGAAAGAAAUCCUUGGCUCUAAUACAGUCGGGGGAUGACGGUACCGGAAGAAUAAGCACCGGCUAACUACGUGCCAGCAGCCGCGGUAAUACGUAGGGUGCAAGCGUUAAUCGGAAUUACUGGGCGUAAAGCGUGCGCAGGCGGUUUGCUAAGACCGAUGUGAAAUCCCCGGGCUCAACCUGGGAACUGCAUUGGUGACUGGGCAGGCUAGAGUAUGGCAGAGGGGGGUAGAAUUCCACGUGUAGCAGUGAAAUGCGUAGAGAUGUGGAGGAAUACCGAUGGCGAAGGCAGCCCCCUGGGCCAAUACUGACGCUCAUGCACGAAAAGCGUGGGGAGCAAAACAGGAUUAGAUACCCUGGUAGUCCACGCCCUAAAACGAUGUCAACUAGUUGUUGGGGAUUCAUUUCCUUAGUAACGUAGCUAACGCGUGAAGUUGACCGCCUGGGGAGUACGGUCGCAAAGAUUAAAACUCAAAGGAAUUGACGGGGUCAUAGCUGUUUCCU